GGGCAGAGGAACUUACUUGAAGCUGAACUGCAGGUGAGCUUAGAGGCUCCUCUCACAGAGAAGAGGAAAUGCUUAAAGUCUGUGUUGUACCCAGUGCUGGCCUAGGAUUACCAGGUCAGCCCAUCUUUUUUUGAGGUUUGCUAUAUAUUAUGUGGAGAAUAAGUAAGAUUCUAGGGAACUUGGAGCAGUCAUCUGGUGCUUCUUUCCACUUCUCUCAGUGUUUGUUAUUUGUGGCCCUAAUUGCUGCUGAUCUUCUGGGAAAGGCAGUCUGGAGUUCAUAUGCCAUGUCUGUGUUCCUCCUGCCAUCUUCAUGGGGGCCAGAGAUUGGGUCCUUCGCUGUUCCAGAAGCUGGACACAGAACAUCAAAGAGGCACAAACAAUGCUACUGGGGGACUUAGAGAUCUGUGGAACACAGAGGGAAAUGAACAGCAGGAUAUCGGGUACAACAAAGUUAUGAGACAAUGAAUGUAACAGAGCGCUUUAAGGUAUGACAUUUUGCCCAACCUUGAGGGACCCCCUCCUCAGAAAACAAGUGCCUAUGCAAAAAAUAGGCAAAAAAAAAAUAGGUGGGCACUAGAUCUCUGAUUUCGAGGUUAUGAGGAUUUCGAGGGUUAGGAAACUCCUUCUACCAAUGCAGUUUGGCAACUUAACUAUUUUUAGAAUUGCCUAAAAGACUGGGAAUUUCAAUGAAUUGCCCAGCACCAUACAGCCAGCAAAGACCUGUAUCUUAUUUAUGUAUGUGUUGUUUCCCCCAUUAGAACGGAAGUAUGGACCCUUUCGUUUUGUAUCGCUAGCGUUCGGCUUAGUGCAUGGU
rnacentral:lncRNA from 1 species